AGGAAGAAGAGUGCCUGAACGUAAGAGGGACAUUAUCUCGCUGCUGCAAAGCCUCACCUGAAGGGGAAGCAGACGAUGGUAUAAGGCCAGUGUUGCCUGUGAUGUUUACAGAUGUCUGGGUGUCCCUACUGUUUACCAUCACAGCAUACCGCCCCCCUGCAAUAACUGUGAUUUCAGGAAACAUGUCUGUCGGAGAAGCAAAAUCCAUCCUAUCCUGUGGAAUAUGGUUAUCUGGUCAAAAAGGCUUACAUCACGCUUAGCAAUCUUUUUGUGAUUUAUGAUUUCUGGGUUUAUUUUUCAAAUGAAUGCUAGAGAUUAGGCUGAGUCUAUGCCAGUCCCUGCAGAUCACAGCUCUCAUUUAAACCACCAACACACACUAGCGAUCUCAAAAUUGGAGAGGGAGGUUAAACUUGUUCGAUCAAGACAAUGUUAAGUCGAAUGAAGUGGCUCCUAGCUCAAAUGAAAGUCAACACCUCCAGAAUGUGGGACAAAUAGACCCCCCACACCCUUCAAUACAGAUUUUCCCAUCCAGCUAAUAAAGCUAUAACCUAAUAGACAACUAGAAUCCUAAAUUCCAUUGAUACUUUUAUGUAGCUUUUCCCUGAGUCCUGUCAGUGCAUCCUUAAUGUUUAUUGCCCACGGCGCAGUUCUUUACUAAAAUGUACCACAAAUGGAGGGAAUUCUGCUUGUUUGGCUCCUCGCUUGAAAUUAUAGCCAUUAAGGGGUUUCGUUUCAAAAUGAACGGCCCCCAGUCAUCUGACAGGCAGCCUGAGGAAAGAACAGCGCUGUGAGAUAAGAGUUUAAAGACGUCAGGAGGACGUUCCAGACAGAACCAGAGGGGACGACGAGGGAUUGCACAACACCGGUCUCGAGGGCUCCUCUCCUCCCUGCUGAAGGCCCAGAAUGCACUCUGUUCACCUUUGCGCCAACCAAAAGAAUUCCGAAGCAGCAGAGUGGAUUAGUGAUCAUCAACGGGUCUGCCUGCAUACCGGGGAGCUGAGGAUGGUUCUGAUGUUCUUACAACCUUCCGUUCUGUUUUGCACCCAGGGGAACUCGCUGAAGGCUACACUACAGUCGGUGUUUCUGCAAAGCCGUGGGAAAAGUCAACAUUCUUAGUGUAUCAAUUAGGCAAUUGCUUUCACUGUACCACUCCUUCCACUUCCACACUCGACACCACAAAUCUUGUAUUAAUGUUGACACUUUGAUCUCUGUCACUGCUUACCAAAUGUCAUGGGUUAAUUUGCUUUGGUUCAAUGUACAAUAUUACCUGAAGUGGAUGAGCUUUUGUGAUUCUCUAUAUGCCUGAACAUGACAUAUGCAUGCUUUACAUAAACAACAAACUUAUUGCAUUCAUAUGUAAUAAAUAUAUAUUUGUACUUUCUUGUCCAGUAGGAUUCAUUUAUAAUACCUUUAGUCCCAGAGAAAGUGUCUUUGAGGUACCGAAAUAUGAUCAUGUAAA